rnacentral:lncRNA from 1 species
CUUCCCGCUACUAGCCAAGUCCUGCAAGCGAAUGCGCUCAGGCUGGUGGUAAGAGGUGGUUUGCAAGAGGCGGCCUUAGCAAGGGCUGUUCCUGUGGUCCCACACCUUUCUCAAGCACAUCUGUUUAGAGACAGUGGGAGCCAAACCAGCGGACAGAAUAGGGGCGGUCCCUUCAAAGCCAAGAUUAAUUUCUCAGGUGGCUUGAAGAGAACCACCGGCAGUUGGAAGGAGGAAUAGAAAGUUCACUAAGUCCAGAGUAUUCAAGCGUGAAGAUUGCGUUUCUACGACACCAUUGGCUGUGGUUGCUCAAACAUGGGAACAAUCAGGAGCCUUCUAAGAUUUCGAGGAUGUUGUACUGGCAAAGAAACCACAAACCUGGUCCACAAAGCCUGGUUUGGCCCCCGCAGUUACCCCCAGCACCCCAGAUCUGCACCAGCAGGAAGAAGGUGGUGAAAGUUGUAAAGUCUGCUAGGACGGAUGUGGUCUCUGGUGCAGCCCCAGAGGAUCGUGGUUUGAAUUGAGUCUUCUGUCACCUGCAGCUGAAAGAGUUCUGAUAAGAGAGUUGACAAAGAGACAAGACUUAGACACCUUUAAACGCUUCUGGGUGUGAAAUGCAGUCACUACACUUUCCCAAGAAAAAGUGCACAUUUGAAAAAGCAAUUAGAGUAAAUCAACAGGGCAAAAUGCUACUUGGAGAAAAUACAGUAAAAGAAGAAUUGGAAUGGGAUGAGAUUAAUGAAGGAAAGCUUCCUGUAGAAGUAUAGCACCCAUGCAGCAAGAAUGUUUAUUGUGUGCCACAAAGUGGGACAGAAGAGAGAGAGAGAGCCGACGGGAAUGAAGAACAGCACAAGAGCAACCAGUAUGGAGCAUCAACUGAGGAUCACAGGGUUUGAUGGUUGCCUGGGUGGAAGUCAGUAUGGACGGAUGAUGACUGAGGACCAAAUACCCGCUCUCACACCCCAAACUCAGCCUUAUCUGUGAUCUCCUCGGGUGCCAGCUCCAAGUACAAAGACAGCAGCAGCAGUUCUGGACCCCUUGUUGAUGCCCAACAACAUCCAGGAGAAAAGGGACCAUCUUUCCCUGUACUUUCUUCUAAGAAAAAGAAACAUCUUCCAGAGCAUUUGGCAAAUUUCUCCCACACUGAGCCACAUGCUCGUUCCAAACCAAUCCCCAUCACUGGAAGAAUACAGGUUUGACUCAGACUAAUCAGGGCUCAUCUUUGACUGAGGUCAACUCUCCCAAUUGCCUGGCUACCACAAAAUGAGGGAUAGAAUGGACAUUGCAGAACAACCACAAUUACAGUCCUCCCCUUUACUGCCCAAUAUUCACACACACCCUCUGUGCUAUGUUACAAUCUCCGAAAAGCCAGUGCCUAAUAAGAUGCACACAUGCCCUCUUAAGGAAGUACCACCCAAACUUCACCCAAUCAUGUAUCCAGUGGCAAACCCAGGAUCUCUGGGAGGCGUACAAUCCAUCAAGUCAAUUACAUGCACCUGGAUUGAAAAGAAAUCAGGCAGGAAAUGAGGUGGUUGUUUCUUGUUCAUGCAUGAGCCUGGAACACUGAGUCUCAGUGCUCUCGUGUAUUAAAUGAGAAUAGUAAUGUCUGCUACGCAGGUUGUGAUGCUGAUUGAAAAUAAAAUAAAAAAUGACAAAAAUAAACCAAUAUGAGCUGUGCAUAUUCAAACCUCACCUGCUGAUCAUAGUAAAUGCAUUGCAUUUGCAGCUGAUAUGCCGAGAUCCUGGAGCUCAAAGUGAUACCCCUUUGAUUAGCACAAAGACCUGCUAUUUUCCCCUGGGGUAACCUCCUCCCCCUAGUUCCUCCUAGGAGUUUGAGUAUGUUCCACACAUAGUUAGAUCUGUCAUGCUGGCUGCAGUCCCACUGUUCUCCU